UCUCCUACGGGAGGCAGCAGUGAGGAAUAUUGGUCAAUGGGCGGAAGCCUGAACCAGCCAAGUCGCGUGAGGGAAGAAGGCCCUGCGGGUCGCAGACCUCUUUGGACGGGGAGCAAGGCCGCCGACGUGUCGGCGGAAGGAGAGUACCCGUAGAACAAGCAUCGGCUAACUCCGUGCCAGCAGCCGCGGUAAUACGGAGGAUGCGAGCGUUAUCCGGAUUUACUGGGUGUAAAGGGCGUGUAGGCGGGCAUGCAAGCCAGAAGUGAAAUCUGGGGGCUUAACCCCCAAACUGCUUUUGGAACUGG
rnacentral:rRNA from 1 species